UAGGCUUACAAUCGAAGGGCCAGCUGUUCACUUUACAAUCUAUCCCAGCAUCCUCAGCUCCAAUAACUGCCAGUUGAUGCUUGCCUGUCCCAGUGGAAUUAAUGGAAGCUGUCAACAGCCCGCCCCCGACCUCACUGGAUAUAACUGUGUCCUCGGCAGACCUUCAGUUUGUCAGAACCAGUUGGGAUGCAACAGGAUUUUCAGUUUUGCUGCCUUCCAUGCAUGAAUGGCUGUUGGAAUGACCAAGAUGAUUUUUCCACCCAUUCUUGGGACCUGGACUAUGAUGGCCACAGCAGCUAAAGAUGCCAGGUUCUGCAUACUAUGAAACUACUACAUCAGCAGGUCCAAAGGACUCCACUGACUCAACUGAUCUGAGGGACCCCAUGAGAAGCCUACUCAUCAAAGAAUGCAGUUUCUAAAUCCUGAUGAGUUCACCCCCCUUGCCCUGACCAAUCAACAAUCCUAAUUCUCCAGUCCCUUGCCCUCCAUGAUCCUCUUAAAAACCCUAGCCCAGAAUUCCUCAGGAAGAUGGAUUUGAGGGUCUCCUUCCAACUCCUCACUCAGCGCCCUGUGGUCAUUAAACUUUCUCUGCUGCAUCCCUGCUGUCUCAGUGUAAUGAUUCUGUUAUUGUGCCGUGGGCAUACAAACCUGUUUGUCCUGUAUCAGGCAAGUCUCCCUGUUAUAUAUUUUCAUGGCA
rnacentral:lncRNA from 10 species